rnacentral:rRNA from 1 species
GAGGUUGGCUUCGGCCAGCCUAGUGGCGGACGGGUGAGUAAUGCGUGGGAAUCUGCCUCGUAGUGGGGGAUAACGUAGGGAAACUUACGCUAAUACCGCAUACGCUCUACGGAGGAAAGGGGGGGAUCUUCGGACCUCUCGCUAUGAGAUGAGCCCACGUCUGAUUAGCUAGUUGGUGGGGUAAAGGCCUACCAAGGCGACGAUCAGUAGCCGGCCUGAGAGGGUGGACGGCCACACUGGGACUGAGACACGGCCCAGACUCCUACGGGAGGCAGCAGUGGGGAAUAUUGGACAAUGGGCGAAAGCCUGAUCC